UACAGAGGGUGCGAGCGUUGUCCGGAAUCACUGGGCGUAAAGGGCGCGUAGGUGGCUCGUUAAGCGUGUGGUGAAAGCCUGGGGCUCAACCCCAGGUCUGCCGUGCGAACUGGCGAGCUUGAGCAGAGUAGAGGCGGGUGGAAUUUCGGGUGUAGCGGUGGAAUGCGUAGAUAUCCGAAAGAACACCGGUGGCGAAGGCGGCCCGCUGGGCUCUUGCUGACACUGAACCGCGACAGCGUGGGGAGCAAACAGG
rnacentral:rRNA from 1 species